rnacentral:tRNA from 1 species
GGGGCCGUCGUCUAGCCUGGCUAGGAUGCCGGCCUGGGGGGAUACCCCGCCUAGCCGGGUUGUCCCGGAGCGCCGGUGGUCCCGGGUUCAAAUCCCGGCGGCCCCA